CCUACGGGAGGCAGCAGUGGGGAAUAUUGGGCAAUGGGCGCAAGCCUGAACCAGCAACGCCGCGUGAAGGAAGACGGCUCUCGGGUUGUAAACUUCUUUUAUCAGGGACGAAGCCAGUGACGGUACCUGAUGAAUAAGCCACGGCUAAAUACGUGCCAGCAGCAGCGGUAAUACGUAGGUGGAAAGCGUUAUUCGGCUUUACUGGGUGUAAAGGGCGAGUAGGCGUGAAUGCAAGUCAGAUGUGAAAACAAUGGGCUCAACCUGUGGCCUGCAUGUUAAACUGUGUUUCUUGAGUACUGGUGAGGCAGACGGAAUGCCUAGUGUAGCGGUGAAAUGCGUAGAUAUUAGGAGGAAC
rnacentral:rRNA from 1 species